rnacentral:lncRNA from 1 species
CGUAAUUCCAUCUAGUCUGUGUCUAUUGCACAAAAUAUCCACGUAUUCACAGAAGCCUUCUUCCUUCAGCCACUUGGCCACAUUCUUGGUAGUCCAACGUCGAAUGCAAAGCUGGUUAUUGCCUGCCAUCGUCCUUCUCUAUCCGCCGAUAAAACUGACCUCAGCAGCGCCGAACGGCCGUGCCGCAGCACCCAGCUCCGGGGCGGCAGCGGCUCCUGCCCGCCCUGCCUCCCUCCGGCGGCGGCGGCGGC